rnacentral:rRNA from 1 species
UACGUAGGGGGGCAAGCGUUGUCCGGAUUUAUUGGGCGUAAAGAGCGUGUAGGCGGCCUGGAAGGUCAGCUGUGAAAACUCGAGGCUCAACCUCGAGACGUCGGUUGAAACCACCUGGCUAGAGUCCGGAAGAGGAGAGUGGAAUUCCCGGGUGUAGCGGUGAAAUGCGGCAGAUAUCGGGAAGAACACCCGUGGCGAAGGCGGCUCUCUGGGACGGUACUGACGCUGAGACGCGAAAGCGUGGGGAGCGAACAGG